GUCCCUCUGGCUCAGUUGGUAGAGCAUGGUGUGUGCAACGUUAGGGUUGUGGGUUCAAUUCCCACAGGGGGCC
rnacentral:tRNA from 1 species